GACGAACGCUGGCGGCGUGCCUAAUACAUGCAAGUCGAACGAGAGCGACCGGUGCUUGCACUGGUCAAUCUAGUGGCGAACGGGUGAGUAACACGUGGGUAAUCUGCCCAUCAGAGGGGGAUAACAUCCGGAAACGGAUGCUAAAACCGCAUAGGUCUUCGAGCCGCAUGGCUUGAAGAGGAAAAGAGGCGCAAGCUUCUGCUGAUGGAUGGACCCGCGGUGCAUUAGCUAGUUGGUGAGGUAACGGCUCACCAAGGCCGUGAUGCAUAGCCGACCUGAGAGGGUGAUCGGCCACAUUGGGACUGAGACACGGCCCAAACUCCUACGGGAGGCAGCAGUAGGGAAUCUUCCGCAAUGGACGCAAGUCUGACGGAGCAACGCCGCGUGAGUGAAGAAGGUUUUCGGAUCGUAAAACUCUGUUGUUAGAGAAGAACAAGUGCUAGAGUAACUGUUAGCGCCUUGACGGUAUCUAACCAGAAAGCCACGGCUAACUACGUG
rnacentral:rRNA from 1 species